GACGAACGCUGGCGGCGUGCUUAACACAUGCAAGUCGAACGCUGAAGCUCAGCUUUUGUUGGGUGGAUGAGUGGCGAACGGGUGAGUAACACGUGAGUAACCUGCCCCCUUCUUUGGGAUAACGCCCGGAAACGGGUGCUAAUACUGGAUAUUCACUGGUCUUCGCAUGGGGGUUGGUGGAAAGGGUUUUUCUGGUGGGGGAUGGGCUCGCGGCCUAUCAGCUUGUUGGUGGGGUGAUGGCCUACCAAGGCUUUGACGGGUAGCCGGCCUGAGAGGGUGACCGGUCACAUUGGGACUGAGAUACGGCCCAGACUCCUACGGGAGGCAGCAGUGGGGAAUAUUGCACAAUGGGCGCAAGCCUGAUGCAGCGACGCCGCGUGAGGGAUGGAGGCCUCCGGGUUGUGAACCUCUUUCGCUCAUGGUCAAGCCGCAACAAUGGUUGUGGGGAGGGUAGUGGGGAAAGAAGCGCCGGCUAACUACGG
rnacentral:rRNA from 1 species